rnacentral:rRNA from 1 species
UACGAAGGGGGCUAGCGUUGCUCGGAUUGACUGGGCGUAAAGGGCGCGUAGGCGGUUUGUACAGUCAGACGUGAAAUUCCUGGGCUCAACCUGGGGGCUGCGUUUGAUACGUGCGAGCUUGAGUUCGGAAGAGGGUCGUGGAAUUCCCAGUGUAGAGGUGAAAUUCGUAGAUAUUGGGAAGAACACCGGUGGCGAAGGCGGCGACCUGGUCCGAUACUGACGCUGAGGCGCGAAAGCGUGGGGAGCGAACAGG